rnacentral:rRNA from 1 species
CCUACGGGAGGCAGCAGUGGGGAAUAUUGCACAAUGGGCGCAAGCCUGAUGCAGCCAUGCCGCGUGUGUGAAGAAGGCCUUAGGGUUGUAAAGCACUUUCAGUCGUGAGGAAAGGUGUGUGCUUAAUACGUACAUACUGUGACGUUAGCGACAGAAGAAGGACCGGCUAACUCCGUGCCAGCAGCCGCGGUAAUACGGAGGGUCCGAGCGUUAAUCGGAAUUACUGGGCGUAAAGCGCGCGUAGGUGGAUUGGUCAGUCAGAUGUGAAAGCCCAGGGCUCAACCUUGGAACUGCAUCUGAUACUGCUAGUCUAGAAUACAGUAGAGGGUAGUGGAAUUUCCUGUGUAGCGGUGAAAUGCGUAGAUAUAGGAAGGAACACCAGUGGCGAAGGCGACUACCUGGACUGAUAUUGACACUGAGGUGCGAAAGCGUGGGGAGCAAACAGGAUUAGAUACCCUGGUAGUCCACGCCGUAAACGAUGUCUACUAGCCGUUGGAAGACUUGAUCUUUUAGUGGCGAAGCUAACGCGAUAAGUAGACCGCC